GCUAAGCCCAUGUCAUCAGGUGGCGGACGGACCGGGUUUCCUGCACUCGUGAGCCCUCCGGAAGUAUGAUGGGACCCCGUGAUGAAGCCCACACAUCUUGUAUUUCAAGGUCCCAUCUGGGUAGCUCACGGGAACGGCCGAGGAGCUGCGGUGAGUCGGGGAGGUAGGGAGGAGGAGAGGGGGUCCACUCCAGUUUCAGCUGUGCCCAGUCACCUUGUCUCCACUUAACCUAGGCGUACCUCGUGACGGCAGCGUCGGCCUCGGAGCACGGCCGAAGCGUGCGGCCCAAACGCCAGGGCCCUCUUAGGAGAAGACGAAGAGAUAAGAGCCUGGUGACAGCUGGAACUUCCCAGACGGGGAGGUGGCCUUCUUUUGCACUUGACAGGGAUUUGCACGCCCAGAAGUGUGCAAGAUAAGUUGAGGGCUAUGACCCACUGAGGGGAGGGAAGCGGGGUGCUGGCUUGGGACUGCCUGGAAGGGAUUUUGGAGUCUGCUUUGGAGAUGGGGAUGUCCAAGAAGUGUCUCGUUAGGCCACCUAAAGGGAAAGUGUCUCUUUUGAUCUCAGUGCUGAGGUGCGCAGGGCAGAGCAGUUCCGGUGUGUGUCGUGUCACUUGUCUCUUGUGCAUUCUGUGUUGUUUGGGUCUGUCACGUCGCUUGUCUUUUUUUACCUUAGCUGUCUGAGGGUCAUCUUGGCAUCUGUGAUCUUUGCGUUCCUCGGCCCAGCCCCAACGCCACAGGCCUUUUGACUCGGGAGUCCCGACAGGCAUCGCAGUCGUAUCUGUCUUUAGAAGCAUCCGGUCAGAUGUCUUUUAAGGUCUCGUUCCGAGCGGUAGCGACAGCCGCGCACCCCAACGAUCCAUUAUAGCGGCUUAGGACUCGUGAGAAUGCCAAGCUAGGUAGCUCAUUCUUACCGUAGGCUUUUCAGGCAUCCGCUUGUGCAGUUCUCGGAAGACAUCGUUUUCUUAGCAUCUUCUUCCUGCAGGGUUCUUUGAGCCUCAUCAGCUCCGAGCCGUCCGUCUCACCUAGGUCAUCUCGUUCCGCAAUCUCUCUGUCCUCGCGGGCAUUUUUCUCGCCAAGAGAUUUUUCUCCUCGUGGCGUCCCCUCGUUUGUCGUGUCCUGUCCUGUGUCACGGGUGUCUGCACAUAUUUGUCCCGGAGCUGCUCUGUCCUGCUGCAUAGCCUGGUGUAAUUGCACAAGUCCUGGAGACCUGCAAUUGGGAAUGGGGGAUGUAGUUGUAUUCUAGAUGGUAUUCCUAGAUUCUCACAGGAUCCUUGGACCUGUUAAGUUAUCCUACAGUUGUUUGAAUUUUCUCCUAACUUUCUUUCAGAUGCAGACAUUUAAGAUCUGUGGCAGAGCGCCCCUCCUGGGUCAGGGGGUUUUCCCUGAGAAGGAAGUCCAGGCAGAUAGCUGCAGUCAAGGCCAAGUGUGUCAGGCAGUCCUCUUGCGAGAUGUCUCUGAUCCCAGAUGUCUGAGGCCAGGUGUCAUUGCUGCCCUAGGCGUGUGAAGGAAUAGAGUCAAGCGGGUAUCCUCCUGGCAGCCUGUUGAGUCGCGUCAAGAUUUCAGGUACCGUGAGGAGGCGCAUAGCUGAAGUUUGGAAACGGCAGCACCGAAGUGGAUGUAGAGAACGUGUCGCCGUCCACGUCCGGCUGACGAUGGAUUUUGUCCGGUCGUCUUGCAAAAGCUAAUUGUCGGGGCCAGUAGGUGGGAGAAGGGGAAAAACCUUUACUAUCACAGGAGACAAUUUGAUGUUAGCUUAGAGGAGAGGCCCAUAGUGGGACGGGCCCCUUGGAAGCAGAGGGAGAGGGUUUCUCCUCAGCCUCACCAGAGUCUUCGCCGGGCAGGGCAGUUCCGAUCCAUCUUCGCGUCCUCGCGAGGUUUGCGUCGGCGGCCUUCUUCGACUCUCGAUGUCGUCGUGGAUCUUUUCACCCGAGGAGCCCGCCUUCACGUCCAGAGCUAUAGCCACGGUCACGCCGUAGUCAUCGCUUUCUUGUCUAGGCCUACUGAGCUUCUUAGGCUUCCUCUUAAGUCCUUUGGCACUAACAUCUUGAAAGGAGUUAAAUUUCAUCAUCACAUGCUAUUGCCCUAGGGCUUUCUUUCCUUUGGCAUCAUCGGCCUAUGACUCAUCUUGGACUAGCAAUCUUGGGUCCAUAAGGUGGAACUGCCAGGCAGUUUCCACUCGUGUCCGUGUUAUGUCGUCCGUGUCAUGUCGUCCGUGUCCGUGUUAUGUCGUCCGUGUCCAUUGAUUUCUGCGUCAUAUGCCUUUGUUACAUCUCGAGGCUUUAUCGGCAUUGUUCUCUGCCGUAUCGGCCAUAUUUUACUCGUGUACCUUCCUGGAUAUCGCUUAUUCCAGCAUCGUUACAUUUUUACUUAUUGAGACGGGAAGAAGUACAGGAGACGUUCUCAUUCAUCUUCCUUCUUACCUUUGGUAGCGCCUUCUCUUCCCGUGCUAUUCUCUUGGACUUCUAGAGGGAGCGUAUUAGACCCUCAUCACCUGACCGCAGUAGUUCCGUAGCUUGCGCCUUCUCAAAGGGUAUAGGGCUCAACAAUUAAUCUUCCGGAGAGUUACGUCAAGUCCUCACUUAUAUUGUAUCUAUGUUGGCUUAUAUUGUACGUGCUUAGGUUGUACCUACCUAUGUUGGCUUAUACUGUAUGUGCUUAUAUUGUAUGUACUUAUGUCGUAUGUACCUAUGUCGGUUUAUAUUGUAUGUACUUAUACUCUAUGUACCUACACUGGCUUAUAUUGUGCAUAUAUUGUAUGUACCUACCUUGGCUUAUGUUGUACAUGCCUCUGUUAUGCCACUUACAAUCGGAGCUGCCCUGCCCAGGCACGUAGUCACGGUUAGGUAGAGCAGUUAUAAAACUUUACAGUUCAUCUGUCUUCUAUGGGGGUUUUGGGUACAAAAUUUAUGGACCCGGAGCGGGAAUAGCUCCUAGCCGUCAGGUAGUCACUCGUCGACCGCCUCCCGUCAUCUCUGUCGUCUCGCAGGUCCCCGGGUCCCUACACGUUAUCCCGGAAUCUACCGCUGGACAUCAAAGAGCCGCGGUCAGAAGAUGCGUCGAAGCGUCAGCGUAGCGUUUCAAGUAAGGGUCGCAGUCAGCGUGUAAGCGGAAGAGCGUGUGAGAGAGCGUGAUUGUCCGUGUCUGUCUGUGAGAGCUUGUGUCUGCAGGUGUGAGUGUGUGUUGACCGGUUCUAACCUUGUGCGUAUGGCCUUUGCCUUUCAGGUUUUUCAGCUCAUUUUUAAAUUUAGAAUAAAAAAUCCCCAGCCAGGGCUUUUUUUUUUUUCCCCCCCGGCUGGGUUUUUUUUCCUCUGUCCCGGCCAGUCCGCGAGGCGACGUUCAUCGCCAAAGUUUGAAGGCGGACCGUCCUGGGACCGGGGUUUUCGUCAGGCAGGAGGAUUUUUUUGGAGGCUCCCGGGAACCACGUUCCCGAGGAACAACGAUUGCCGGGGCGUAACGGAGCGGUUGAAACGAGAGCGACAGUGAGUUUGCGUGCAAUGUGAAGGAGGUGGUCACGGUGGAUGACUGUUGUUUUCUGUAUGCUAUUUUUGUUUUGGUCUUUCCUCUAACAAUCAAACAAAAUGUAAUGUAAAUAGAAAAAAGGUUAUAUUGUGUUAAUAUGCGUUUGGUUUCUAUUGCCCCGUAUUGUUCCGUGUUUGCAUUUGCCGCCGCAUUUCCACAUACGGCUCCGUACGUAAGUCGGAUUUCUACCGGUCAGCGUACGGAUUGUAUCUACGCUCCCAUUUGUAUACAUCGUUUCCAUGUGUUUUGCUGGAGUGUAAAUAAAAAAAAUUAUUCAUUAAAGUUGAA